GACGAACGCUGGCGGCGUGCCUAAUACAUGCAAGUCGAGCGCAGGAAAUCGACGGAACCCUUCGGGGGGAAGUCGACGGAAUGAGCGGCGGACGGGUGAGUAACACGUAAAGAACCUGCCCUCAGGUCUGGGAUAACCACGAGAAAUCGGGGCUAAUACCGGAUGGGUCAUCGGACCGCAUGGUCCGAGGAUGAAAGGCGCUUCGGCGUCGCCUGGGGAUGGCUUUGCGGUGCAUUAGCUAGUUGGUGGGGUAAUGGCCCACCAAGGCGACGGUGCAGAGCCGACCUGGGAGGGUGAUCGGCCACACUGGGACUGAGACACGGCCCAGACUCCUACGGGAGGCAGCAGUAGGGAAUCUUCCACAAUGGACGAAAGUCUGAUGGAGCAACGCCGCGUGAACGAUGAAGGCCUUCGGGUCGUAAAGUUCUGUUGUAAGGGAAGAACAAGUGCCGCAGGCAAUGGCGGCACCUUGACGGUACCUUGCGAGAAAGCCACGGCUAACUACGUGCCAGCAGCCGCCGUAA
rnacentral:rRNA from 1 species